rnacentral:rRNA from 1 species
UACAGAGGUCCCGAGCGUUGUUCGGAUUUAUUGGGCGUAAAGGGUGCGUAGGCGGCGGAGUAAGUUGGGUGUGGAAUCCCGGGGCUCAACCUCGGAAUGGCAUUCAAUACUGCUUCGCUCGAGUACUGGAGAGGAGGCUGGAAUUUACGGUGUAGCAGUGAAAUGCGUAGAUAUCGUAAGGAAGGCCGGUGGCGAAAGCGAGCCUCUGGACAGUUACUGACGCUGAUGCACGAAGGCCAGGGGAGCAAACGGG